rnacentral:tRNA from 1 species
UCCCUGGUGGCUCAGAUGGUUAAGAGUCUGCCUGAAAUGCAGGAGACCCAGGUUUGAUCCCUGGGUAGGGAA